GGCUAACUACGUGCCAGCAGCCGCGGUAAUACGUAGGGUGCGAGCGUUGUCCGGAAUUACUGGGCGUAAAGAGCUCGUAGGUGGUUUGUCGCGUCGUUUGUGUAAGCCCGCAGCUUAACUGCGGGACUGCAGGCGAUACGGGCAUAACUUGAGUGCUGUAGGGGAGACUGGAAUUCCUGGUGUAGCGGUGGAAUGCGCAGAUAUCAGGAGGAACACCGAUGGCGAAGGCAGGUCUCUGGGCAGUAACUGACGCUGAGGAGCGAAAGCAUGGGUAGCGAACAGGAUUAGAUACCCUGGUAGUCCAUGCCGUAAACGGUGGGCGCUAGGUGUGAGUCCCUUCCACGGGGUUCGUGCCGUAGCUAACGCAUUAAGCGCCCCGCCUGGGGAGUACGGCCGCAAGGCUAAAACUCAAAGGAAUUGACGGGGGCCCGCACAAGCGGCGGAGCAUGUGGAUUAAUUCGAUGCAACGCGAAGAACCUUACCUGGGCUUGACAUACACCAGAUCGGGCCAGAGAUGGUCUUUCCCUUUGUGGUUGGUGUACAGGUGGUGCAUGGUUGUCGUCAGCUCGUGUCGUGAGAUGUUGGGUUAAGUCCCGCAACGAGCGCAACCCUUGUCUUAUGUUGCCAGCAAUUCGGUUGGGGACUCGUGAGAGACUGCCGGGGUUAACUCGGAGGAAGGUGGGGAUGACGUCAAAUCAUCAUGCCCCUUAUGUCCAGGGCUUCACACAUGCUACAAUGGUCGGUACAACGCGUCUGCGAGCCUGUGAGGGUGAGCUAAUCGCUGAAAGCCGGUCGUAGUUCGGAUUGGGGUCUGCAACUCGACCCCAUGAAGUCGGAGUCGCUAGUAAUCGCAGAUCAGCAACGCUGCGGUGAAUACGUUCCCGGGCCUUGCACACACCGCCCGU
rnacentral:rRNA from 1 species